rnacentral:rRNA from 1 species
GAUGAACGCUAGCUACAGGCUUAACACAUGCAAGUCGAGGGGCAGCAUGGUCUUAGCUUGCUAAGGCUGAUGGCGACCGGCGCACGGGUGAGUAACACGUAUCCAACCUGCCGUCUACUCUUGGCCAGCCUUCUGAAAGGAAGAUUAAUCCAGGAUGGCAUCAUGAGUUCACAUGUCCGCAUGAUUAAAGGUAUUUUCCGGUAGACGAUGGGGAUGCGUUCCAUUAGAUAGUAGGCGGGGUAACGGCCCACCUAGUCAACGAUGGAUAGGGGUUCUGAGAGGAAGGUCCCCCACAUUGGAACUGAGACACGGUCCAAACUCCUACGGGAGGCAGCAGUGAGGAAUAUUGGUCAAUGGGCGAUGGCCUGAACCAGCCAAGUAGCGUGAAGGAUGACUGCCCUAUGGGUUGUAAACUUCUUUUAUAAAGGAACAAAGUCGGGUAUGCAUACCCGUUUGCAUGUACUUUAUGAAUAAGGAUCGGCUAACUCCGUGCCAGCAGCCGCGGUAAUACGGAGGAUCCGAGCGUUAUCCGGAUUUAUUGGGUUUAAAGGGAGCGUAGAUGGAUGUUUAAGUCAGUUGUGAAAGUUUGCGGCUCAACCGUAAAAUUGCAGUUGAUACUGGAUGUCUUGAGUGCAGUUGAGGCAGGCGGAAUUCGUGGUGUAGCGGUGAAAUGCUUAGAUAUCACGAAGAACUCCGAUUGCGAAGGCAGCCUGCUAA